GUGGGAAAGAAACAACUGAGGAAA
rnacentral:piRNA from 1 species